rnacentral:pre_miRNA from 1 species
CCGUGUUGAGGUAGUUGGUUGUAUAGUACCGUGGUUUCGAUACUCGACUAUACAAUCCGCUAACUUGCCUCG